rnacentral:rRNA from 1 species
GACGAACGCUGGCGGCGUGCUUAACACAUGCAAGUCGAACGGACAGGCCCUGCUUUUGUUGCGUGCUCGAGUGGCGAACGGGUGAGUAAAACGUGAGUAACCUGCCCUUGACUUUGUGAUAACUUCAGGAAACUGGGGCUCAUACAGGGUAGGAGCUCCUGCUGCGUAGGGGGGGAUGGAAAGUUUCGGCGGUUGGGGAUGGUCUCGCGGCUUAUCGGCUUGUUGGGGGGGUAGUGGCUUACCAAGGCUGUGACGGGUAGCCGGCCUGAGAGGGUGACCGGCCACAUUGGGACUGAGAUACGGCCCAGACUCCUACGGGAGGCAGCAGUGGGGAAUAUUGCACAAUGGGCGGAAGCCUGAUGCAGCAACGCCGCGUGCGGGAUGACGGCCUUCGGGUUGUAAACCGCUUUCGCCUGUGACGAAGCGUGAGUGACGGUAAUGGGUAAAGAAGCACCGGCUAACUACGUG